UACGUAGGGGGCAAGCGUUGUCCGGAUUUAUUGGGCGUAAAGAGCGUGUAGGCGGCCAGGUAGGUCUGCUGUGAAAACUCGAGGCUCAACCUCGAGACGUCGGCGGAAACCAUCUGGCUAGAGUCCGGAAGAGGAGAGUGGAAUUCCUGGUGUAGCGGUGAAAUGCGCAGAUAUCAGGAAGAACACCAACGGCGAAGGCAGCUCGCUGGGACGGAACUGACGCUGAGGCGCGAAAGCGUGGGGAGCGAACAGG
rnacentral:rRNA from 1 species